GUUCUGCCAAUGGUGAGACAGAAUUGGUCCAACAGUGAAACAUGAAGAACAGAAGGCUUUUACCUGUUGCAAGAGAUAUCUGAGAACCAGAGAUAAAAUAAGGACCCUGGGGCCUUGCUAUACAUUCAGACUGCACAUGCAGUGAGGGAGAAUAUACAGCAAAUGCAAAGUGAAGUCCUUCCUGUCCGUAUGCUGGACUCAGGUGUAGCUGUGCUGGAUCAACAGCAGAAGUUGGAACCCCCUGCCAGGAGUGCCACAGAGCUGCUCAUGGCAUUGUAAGGGGAAGGAAAGUUUAACUGAGAUUUCAUUUUCCUUCCUUCUAUUAUUUGUAUCUCCGUCUUGUAUUGGUGUUGUCACACUGAGUGUGUGCUGUUACAGCAGAUACCGUUUGGGCAGGAAUUCUGAGUUCUAGACCUCUGGAAAUCCCAGCAUGAGCUAAAUAAAAUGUUUCAGCUUUCAAAACAGUGAAUGAUUGAACCCAUUUGUUCCCAUUUGGGUUCCCAGAAAUGUCCUGAGUGAGCACUGGAACAGAUUCACAGGACAGGCUCAAAUACCACUUUCACAGCUAUUCUGGUUGCUCCUUUGCAAUGUCCCUGAGUAAGUCCCCUGUGAAUUCAUGCUGUUUUUAAUAUGUGAUCAGCACCAAUCCCAUCUCUGGGGAUCUUUAUAUUCACAGCCAGGCCUUUCUUUCUAUUGUUAGUUGGUAAGGCUUCCUUCUCUGAGGCUGUCAUCUGUAUGUGACUGUAAGCCAUCACAACAUGGCUCUGAGGGAAGAAACAGUAAUGUUUGGACUCGGGGUGAAGACAAUUGUCAAUAAGGAACCUGUUAAUGAUACUCAGCUUGCCUAAUAAAGGUUAUCCCAAGCAAAGGAGGGUUUGGGCUCUUUUAGCUGGGAAUCAUGCUUCUGCAAGACUCUUCCCUCAAUCCCAGAUCUUGGCAGGAAAAUGUGUGCUGUACAUAUGGAUUUUGAGCUCUGCAGGUGCUCCUUGCCCUCUCUGAAAAGCCAGUGGUGGCCGGGCUAAAGCUUGAGCCACAUCACAAAUUUGGAAAUGUCUCUGUUCUGAAAUAAACCAGCACCCCACAAUCCCUGUGGCUGCUUUAUCUGUGCUAGCUGGGGUAAAGCUCAUGUACCAGAGAGAAAAAGGGAAAGGAAAAAUCUUCAGCUAACUCUCACUUCCCUGGAAGUUUCACAAUAGUUAAGGAAAGGUGUCAGUGUGGGAUCAGCAGUAGCUUUUACCCUGCUGCCCCUCUCCAGCCUUGCAGCUGUACCCUGGAUGAAAGAAGAGGUGCCAUGCCUUGGACACAAAACUGCAGCAAGAAUCCUGCUGCACCUGCCAGUCCUUCACUGCGGUCCUGGAACUGCCAACAGCAACACUGUAUCUGGAAAAGACUGCUUUGAAACAUGUAUGAAAAUGUCUCAGCUUAUUUAAAUGGCAUUGUAGGAAGUAGAAAUAAAGUGUAACCAAGACUGGAACUGUCAGUGUGAGACUGAUCCUCUGCUCUCCAAACCAACCAGGAAAGUACCUCAAACACCAGGAACAAGAAAGGGAGGCAGAGAGAAAGGAUGAUUCUACUUCUCCCUGCCAAACCCAGGACAGUGCAAUGGGAAGGGCACUUCAGUUCUGAGAAGAUUCAGCAACUGGUCAGGGAACAAGGGACAGAAACAUCCAUGCCCUCAUGCACACAGGAAUGACUGGCAUAUAAGGAAGAAGUCAGAUCCAGGAGCCUUUUGUACAAACGAGCUGCAGCAUGAGCAACACUCUGUGCCUUUUCUUGGAAGGGACUCUGAAGA